UCAAACUUACCUUCCUUGAAAUACAGUAGCGCAAAUGCCACUAAUUAUAAAUUCGACAUACUUGAAAGAGAAAUACAGUCAAAAGGAUACAUGCUUAUGGGGACUGAUAGCAAAAGAGACUCAGUGGGGACGAUUCAGCCUGCCUUACAGCUCUGCCUUAGAAAGUGGGAACAACAAAAUCUGUUGCUGAAGAACGCAGUUCUUUCAGCAACAAUGACUUAGCAAGCACGAAGGAAUGGGAAAUGACGAAAAUGUCUGUUCGCUGAUGAUAUCGUGAAAAUGCUCUUUACAGUCAUACUGGCCCUGGAAAGGAGAUCUGGAAAUCAGGCAGAACCGGUUUUACGCUGAGAUCUCAUAUCUACAAGGCCUUUCUUUAAGUGGUGUCAAACCAGUCCCAGUUGCAAAGAUGAUGAGUCCACUCUCACCGGCUGACCCAAGGUUGCUGACUGUGCGUCCUCUCCAGCAAGCCAGACACUGUGUAUUCUCUCAUCGCCGUGGUGCUCCUUGAAAAGGGUAGAUACCCCACCGGAACAUGUGCUAUGAGGUACACCUGGAAGAAGAAACACAAGGACUAGUGAGAAUUGUUCUGCAC